CUCAACCUGGGAACUGCAUUGAACUGCAGGCUAGAGUCUGCAGAGGGGUGAAUUCCCGUGUAGCGGUGAAUGCGUAGAGAUCGGGAAGGAACACCAGUGGCGAAGGCGGCCCCCUGGCAUAGACUGACGCUCAUGUGCGAAGCGUGGGAGCAACAGGAUUAGAUACCCUGGUAGUCCACGCCGUAAACGAUGUCGACUAGUAGUCUGUAGCAUCAGAGCGCGGGUUCCGGAGCUAACGCGUGUAAGUUGACCGCCUGGGGAGUACGGCCGCAAGGUUAAAACUCCAAUGAAUUGACGGGGGCCCGCACCAGCCGUGGAAUGUGUUGUAUAAUUUGAUGCAACGGCGAGAACCUUACCUACCCUUGACCUAGUAAGAACCUUGCAGAGAAGCCUAGGUGCCUUUGGGGAGUCACAUACCGGUGCUGCAUGGCUGUUGUCAGCUCGUGUCGUGAGAUGUUGGGUUAAGUCCCGCAACGAGCGCCACCCUUGUCCUUUGUUGCCAGCGAUUCGGUCGGGCACUCAAAGGAGACUGCCGGUGAUAAACCGGAGGAAGGUGGGGACGACGUCAAGUCAUCAUGGCCCUUACGGGUAGGGCUUCACACGUGCUACAAUGGUGGGUACAGAGGGCGGCCAACCAGCGAGGGUGAGCCAAUCCCAAAAAGCCGGUCGUAGUCCGGAUCGGAGUCUGCAACUCGACUCCGUGAAGUCGGAAUCGCUAGUAAUCGCAAAUCAGAAUGUUGCGGUGAAUACGUUCCCGGGCCUUGUACACACCGCCCGUCACACCAUGGGAGUGGGUUGCU
rnacentral:rRNA from 1 species